rnacentral:rRNA from 1 species
AUCCGGGUUGCGGACAGUGUCUGGUGGGUAGUUUGACUGGGGCGGUCUCCUCCUAAAGAGUAACGGAGGAGCACGAAGGUUGGCUAAUCCUGGUCGGACAUCAGGAGGUUAGUGCAAUGGCAUAAGCCAGCUUGACUGCGAGCGUGACGGCGCGAGCAGGUGCGAAAGCAGGUCAUAGUGAUCCGGUGGUUCUGAAUGGAAGGGCCAUCGCUCAACGGAUAAAAGGUACUCCGGGGAUAACAGGCUGAUACCGCCCAAGAGUUCAUAUCGACGGCGGUGUUUGGCACCUCGAUGUCGGCUCAUCACAUCCUGGGGCUGAAGUAGGUCCCAAGGGUAUGGCUGUUCGCCAUUUAAAGUGGUACGCGAGCUGGGUUUAGAACGUCGUGAGACAGUUCGGUCCCUAUCUGCCGUGGGCGUUGGAGAACUGAGGGGGGCUGCUCCUAGUACGAGAGGACCGGAGUGGACGCAUCACUGGUGUUCGGGUUGUCAUGCCAAUGGCACUGCCCGGUAGCUAAAUGCGGAAGAGAUAAGUGCUGAAAGCAUCUAAGCACGAAACUUGCCCCGAGAUGAGUUCUCCCUGAGACUUUAGGUCUCCUGAAGGAACGUUGAAGACGACGACGUUGAUAGGCCGGGUGUGUAAGCGCAGCGAUGCGUUGAGCUAACCGGUACUAAUGAACCGUGAGGCUUAACCUUACAACGCCGAAG